rnacentral:misc_RNA from 1 species
UUUCCGUAGGUGAACCAGCGGAGGGAUCAUUACCGAGUUUACAACUCCCAAACCCAAUGUGAACCAUACCAAACUGUUGCCUCGGCGGGGUCACGCCCCGGGUGCGUCGCAGCCCCGGAACCAGGCGCCCGCCGGAGGGACCAACCAAACUCUUUCUGUAGUCCCCUCGCGGACGUUAUUUUUACAGCUCUGAGCAAAAAUUCAAAAUGAAUCAAAACUUUCAACAACGGAUCUCUUGGUUCUG